AUUGUUUCUCAGCCUUUUGGCUAAGACCUAGUGUAGUAUCUGUUCUUACCAUUUAAAUAUCUGAUACGUCCUUUAUCCAAGGACAAUAUAGUAAAUGGAUUUUUGGAGCAGGGAGAUGGAAUAGGAGCUUGCUUCAUCCAGUCUGCCUAUCGACCCGGUAUUGUAGUAAAACAAAUAAAUAAAUAAAAU